GUUUCAAGGAUCUCCAUUGUUUUAAUUAAGCUUUGUUAGCAAAGCAAGGAUGGAGGCUUAUUAUAAGACCAAGCUCUCUCUUUGCUCGUCUAUUCAAAGGGAAAUAGUUUCCUUGUUAUCCUUUUUGCAGGCCAACCAAGGAUGUAGAGCAUUUUGGGGCUGACAGAGCAUCCUCUGGGGGAGAGAAAUCCUUGAAAAAGCAACUAGAUGGCAUAUAGGAAAUGGGGAAGCUGUUCUUUGUAAGGAAGAGAGAUGGAUUCCAAAAU
rnacentral:misc_RNA from 1 species